rnacentral:misc_RNA from 1 species
AACCCUUGUGGAGGAGGACGCCGAAGGUGGGGCUAAUGACUGGGGUGAAGUCGUAACAAGGUAGCCGUACCGGAAGGUGCGGCUGGAUCACCUCCUAACAGGGAGACAACAAAAUGUUUAAUAUUAUUAUUUUGUCACCUUAGGUCGAUCGGUAUCUCACAUUCUUAAUUUAUUAAGAAUUUCAUUUCCUAAGUUUUUCUAGGUCACACCCAUUAUUUUUCCUGGGCCAUUAGCUCAGGUGGUUAGAGCGCACCCCUGAUAAGGGUGAGGUCCCUGGUUCAAGUCCAGGAUGGCCCAUAUCUCUAUGUUGGGGGUAUAGCUCAGUUGGUAGAGCGCCUGCUUUGCAAGCAGGAUGUCAGCGGUUCGAGUCCGCUUACCUCCACUGAUUACCACCUCUUCCAUAAUUUGAAGAAAGGAAAUUUUUUGAGUUGUGAUCAAAUUCUGAACGAAUCUAGCUUCCUAAUGAAUCUAUUAAGAUGCUGGACUCAUUGAAUUAAUUUUCAUUGUUUUCAGAGAACCUUGACAACUGCAUAGAUUAUUUUAAAGACAAUAAGCAUCUUUGAUGAUGCAGAUUUAUUAUUUGUGCGAAUGCAUUAAUAACAAUUCUAUUAAGCUGAUGCUUCAAUUUAAUGAAGUUAUUGGUCAAGCUACAAAGGGCUCACGGAGGAUACCUAGGCACACA